UACGAAGGGGGCUAGCGUUGCUCGGAAUUACUGGGCGUAAAGGGCGCGUAGGCGGCACUGUUAGUCAGGCGUGAAAUUCCUGGGCUCAACCUGGGGACUGCGCUUGAUACGGCAGAGCUAGAGGAUGGAAGAGGCUCGCGGAAUUCCCAGUGUAGAGGUGAAAUUCGUAGAUAUUGGGGAAGAACACCGGUGGCGAAGGCGGCGAGCUGGUCCAUUACUGACGCUGAGGCGCGACAGCGUGGGGAGCAAACAGG
rnacentral:rRNA from 1 species